rnacentral:rRNA from 1 species
UACGGGGGGAGCAAGCGUUGUUCGGAUUUACUGGGCGUAAAGGCGCGUAGGCGGCCACCGCAAGUCAAUUGUGAAAUCUCCGGGCUUAACUCGGAAAGGUCAACUGAUACUGCGGGGCUAGAGUGCGGAAGGGGCAACUGGAAUUCUCGGUGUAGCGGUGAAAUGCGUAGAUAUCGAGAGGAACACCUGCGGCGAAGGCGGGUUGCUGGGCUGACACUGACGCUGAAGUGCGAAGCGUAGGGAGCGAACGGG